CUGCUGGGAAGUUUCUUCCCCCUAUUAACCACAUGCCUUUCCUCCUCACCUUCCAGGUCUCUCUUCGAAUGUCACCUUCUCAGGUAGGAUUUCUUGAGUGCUCUAUUUAAAAUUAUAAAUAGAUGCCUCACGCUGGCAUUUCCUGCUUUGCUUUCUUCGAUAGCACUUCCUGCCAUCUGAAAUGCUGCUGUUUUACUUUGAUUGCCUCUCUCCUCUGAAAGACUGGAAGUUCUUCGAGGGCAGUGAUUUUCUUGCAAGGCUAAAUCCUCAGUACCUGAAACAUGCUUCACACUUGCAAUCAAAGCAUAUGGACUAUAUUUUAAUUCUACAGACAUUGCGUUAGGCAGAACAGCUACCAACACCCAAUCCCUGAAAUUUGUGAUUAUGUUUUGAUACAUGGCAAAAGGAACUAUGCAGAUGUAAUUAAGGUUAAGAACUUUAAAAUAGGAAGAUUAAAUCCAAGGAGUUCUUCAAAGUAAAGAACUACUACAUGCAGAAGAUUGGGAAGAAAUAACAGAGAGUGCUUGAAGAAUAGAUGUGGCUAGGACAAUAUCUCUGAAUCUCUGAAUGGCCCAUGGUGGUGACCCCCAGCCAGAGUGAACUGUGCAGCAGCAAUGGUGCCCAGUGGGCAGCAACAGUGGAACAGAAGGUGAGGAAGGGGCCAGAAGGAAUCCUUUAGGAAAUUAAGAAAAGGAUAAAAAUAUGAUAAAAAUGUGGUGUCCAGGCGAGAAACGGAAUAACCUCAUCCCUGUUCUGACUAACAAUUUGGUAAUAUUUUGACAGUUUUGAACAAGAACUUCCUUCUCCUUUUCUUUUGGAGUACACCAUAGUGAAAGACCUAUGGUAAAAAACAAGGUACAACUGGAAUACUGCUUUUUGUUUUUCUAUUUUCAAUAGUAUCUCCUGUUUAUAAUGGAUUGUUUUAAUCUCAGGGAAGAACAUCUGAGGAGAUCACCGGGUCUCUAAAUACCAGUUCUUGUCUCUGCACACCUUUUUUAGGGGGGACUGAUGCCUGGUUAUAUCUGCGGUACACCAGUUCCUAAAGCAAUACCUAAGAAAGUCAAUGUUUCCUAGAUAAACUUGACUUUCAUCAAAUGAUAUUUAGAAUCAGUUUUAAACUUGUAGAGUAUUGCAAUCAAUUAUGAUCAUAUUUUGCAGCAUAUAUCAUGAAGUCCAAAUCAUUUUAGCUUAAAGAAAACAGACGUCUAUUAUUUUUUCACUUAGAGUAAGUCAGGAAGUGUGUAGUCUUAUGUGUUGGCUUUCCAGUGUCAUCAGGGGCCCAGAUUCCUGUCUUUCUGCUCUGCCAUCUCCAAUGUGUGGUUUCUAACCUCAUGAUCCAAAGUGGGUUCUUUUGCUCCAGCCCGCGUAUCAAUGUACCAGGCCAGUAGAAUGAAGAAACUAAGGAGAGCAAAAGGAGGCUCCUUCCUAACUGAGUCAACUUUCUUUAAGCAUUUGUCCUGAAGGUCUCACACAAUAUUUUUGCAUACGUCUCACAGGUCAAAACUUAGUUAUGUGUCCACACAAAAUUUCAGAAGAGGCUGGAAGGUGUUGUCUUUUAGCUGAAUGCAUUAUCAUCCUGGAAUUCAAAUCUGGGUUCUAAUAGUAAGCGAGAAAGAGAGCGUGGUUAUUAAGUGGUGUCAUUUGGCACAGCCUGUCAACAGAGGACAUGUUAAUUGGCAUUCAUACUGAUGUUUUAAUAAAGCAUGUAGUGUGCUUAUGAGGACCAAGAUUGACCAUACUUUGGUCAUCAUCAAUCAUGGACUGAAAGGCUUUUAAACAUGAGGUAUGUACCGCCUAGCAUUCAGUAACAACCCACUUAGUCAUUCCUACCUUAAUUUUAGGUGCAUGAUACCAAAAUGUUAACAUAUUUGAGAAACAGUCCAAGCUAAUUUAAUUUACGUAAGUACAUUUUUAGAUAAGACAAUGAUAAAUUUGAAAAUCAGUUUGGUUUAAUGAUUGGUUAGUUAAAAAUAUAUCAAAUAAAUAACUUUUUCUACCUUAGCAUUUUUAAAAUUCUGGACCUAAAAUUAUUACAUUCUAUUUAGGGCAAGGAUUAGCAAAAUACAGCUUACAGGCCAAGUUUGUCUUGACUUCCUUUUUUGUAAAUAAAGUUUUUUUGAAACACAGUUACUCUCAUAUGGUUACAUAUUGUCAGUGGCUGCUUUCACUCUAUAUCGGCAGAACCGAGUAAUUGUAUUAGAUACCCCCACCACUAAACCCAAUGUGUUUACUAUCUGGAUUCAUACAGACAAUGUUUGCUGACCCCUGGCAUAGGCAAAGCAAAAUACAUGACACAAUGAAUUUCCCUCAUACUUAGAAGUUAGGGCCCACAGAACUCACCUGAAAAGUUGCUUAAUAGUUACUUAAUUAUAUAGCAGAUUAAUCAGUUUUUAACUUGAUUCUGACGUUCCUAAAGAAUGGCAAAUUCCUUCCUAACACAAACUAAACCUUUACCUCCGUGGUUCUCAACUGGGGUCAAUUGUGUCUGCCAGAGACAUCUGGUAAUAUGUAGAGACCUUUUUAGUUGUCACAAGUUGGGGUUGGGAGGUGGCUGCCACUGGCAUUUGAUAGGCAGAGGCCAGGGGUGCUGCCAAACGUCCUACAAUGCACAGGACCGCCACUCAACACAAGGAACUAUCUGGCACAAAAGUCACUAGUGCUAAGACUGAGAAACUCCAUGGUAAGUGAGAACUCCCUAGGACCGAAUAGGUAGUUGUCAAUAACAAAAAGGAGGAAUUACUUUCCUUAAAGGUAAAAAUAAUUGUGGCAUUCGGUAAAAAUAAUUGUGGCAUUCUUUCUUGGUGGUGGAGGUUUUGCUGUACUCCUUCCUUGUUUUUAUUCUCCGAAUGAAAACACCAUUUUUAUCUGAAUUAGUAGCUCAAAGUUUUCCAUUAAUCACCUCAAACGGACUGACACAGUGUUUCACACACAAUGUCACGCAUGCUGUAUGCUAACUCCUGAGUUUUGUUCUGAGGGAGAAAAAUGAAUUCCAUGGCCAAAAGUACUAGAGGAAGAACACUCAUCAUAUCAUCAUCUGGGAGGUUCACUGUUUACCUCCAGGAUAUUAAUGGCACUCAGAAGACUGGUGGUGAAGAAACCUAGGAACUGUAGAAAUGUAAAACCUGAUGAGGCUGCUAUUUGUAGACUAGGUCCAGGGAAGAUGUACUAGGUCAGAGGAGAAGAUAUCAUGGCAGAAUCUUCUAAACAGUUUUUCAUGGAUGACUUAUUCAUACAUGGUCCUCAGACAUGGUCCUCAGAGUGAAAAAUAAAAGAAUUCCUAAGUAAAUGAAUUUGGAGAUUACUACCUUUUACAGAGUUUAACAAGUUCAAUUAUAGCAAAGGCUUUUAACCCUCUUUUUCUGUGUGUGAUAAAUCCCAUUGGCAGUCGCAGAUCUCUUCUCAAAUUAAUGUGAUCAAAUGCAUAAAGCAAAAUGUAUAGGGUAUCAAAUAAAUUGCAUUGAAGUGUAAUUAACAAAACAAAAAUAAACUGGUGAUAUAUGAAUGUAAGCAUCUCUUUAUUAUCACAUUAAAUAAUAAGAUCUAGCAGUAGGUCUACUAACUACCAUACUUUUAAAGUAGUAGUGAGUACAAAUAAUAUUUCAAGACAGCUGCAAUAACGGUGAUGUGAUAUGAAAACAUCUGUCAUUUUUGUUGGGGACAAAGUCACAAGUACUGCCAAUAUUACUACAGCUUGUUGUCUUCAUUCAAACGGAAGAAAAUGCUAAAUUUCAGUGAAGUGAAAACUAAGGUUUAAACCAUCGUAGAGCCUUUAAAAUGUUAUGUUACUUGUGAGUUUCCAGAAGUAAUGGUUGUGGGACUUGUUUGAACUUAUUUGAACAUAGAAACUUUAAUAUAUUUUGAAAAGAUAAUUUCACAUGCCAUGUGGGAAAUGUUGCCUUGAGCUAGUGCUGUACGCCUGAAAGCUUCUAAUGUAAUGAUGCAGUAUUGCAUUUAUAAUCAUUGUUUUAAGCUAGCGUUUUCAAAUCCAGUUCAGCUCCAUGAUAACAGCUGUUGUUUUCUUUACCGAUGUAUUUCACUUUCAGAUAUGAUUUUUUAAAAAUUUCUUUGAACUUCAUACUUUUCUUAGCAAAUAUCUCCAUUUAAAUUCUCAGAAUGAAAAUAAAAAUGAGUUGUCUCACACCUCUACACUUAGAAAAUCUAGGCUGCCUGUGGCCCUUUGCCCUAACACGUGACUCCUGUAUCAUGUAUGUAUAACUCCCUUCUAAUUAAGCAACCUCAUUCAUCAAGAAAGCCCUGCAGCGAUAAGGUAAUUUUUGCCACAGGAAUGUGACACUACCAUGUGCCAGUUGCUGAAAUAGUUGCACAGAUUUUAGUGAAAUGCAAGAGAUAAGUGAGUAAGAAAGUGAAAAUUGUCAGCCCAUAAAUUACUGCUGCCCUCAGUCUACAGUAAUUACAGCAAAGCUGUAGAUAACUGUCCCUCUGAUGAACUCUAGCAAAAUGGUCUUUUAAGUUUAUCAGCAUAUUCAGGUACAACUCUCUCAGGAGGCUUGGCCUCUUCUAAAUGAUCAAAUAUUCUGAGGGUGGGUGGCAGAAGGACAAAAGAUGAGGAAAAAGGAAAGAGAAACAUUAUUUACAUCAAUUAAAGUAAUUUUUAAGUUUAUUCUUUUAAAAUUAUCUAGUAGAAGCCUUCUUUCUCACUUAUGAUUCCUUUAAAUGACACUUGCUAUUUUAAUGACUAUUAAAAUAGUCAUUAAAAUAUUAAGUACUAAAUGGUACUUGCUAUUUUUAUUAAUGGAUGCCGAAAGCAGUCAGGGAGCUAAUUAUUAUAUUGUGAAAGUAAAAAUAUAUAUGAGGCUCAUGUAAAACAGU
rnacentral:lncRNA from 1 species